AUGGGAUCUUGGAUAGAAAUGGGGGAUAUUUUAGUGGGUAAGUUAACACCUCCAAUGGAGAAAGAAUCCUUAUAUGCUCCGGAAGUUAGAUUAUUACGAGCUAUACUUUGAAUUCAAGUAUCUACCUCAAAGGAAACUUGUCUAAAACUACCUAUAGGUGGUAGGGGCAGAGUUAUUGAUAUGAGAUGGAAUAAAAAAAAGCAGGUUCUAGCUAUAAUCCAGAAACGAUUC
rnacentral:lncRNA from 1 species